rnacentral:misc_RNA from 1 species
GUCUAACUUGAACCUUAAUUCUUUCGAAGAAGAAGAUCUGCCUCAACUUGAUUAGUAAAGUGUAACAAGAGAGUCUCUUCCUUUCUUCUUCCUCAAAUGAGCUUUCGGUAAAAUUCAUAAAGCUCAACUACUUCACUGGCUUUUCGUCUUUAUUUUAAAAUGUAGUUUACCUUUAGGUAUGAAAGUAGCAUGUUACUAUCAAAGCUAAGUUCUUCAUUUUUUGCUUCUAAGGUGGGACUCUCAUUUGAUUCCGAGAGAGAACAAAUGUUGGAGUAUCUUUGGGUGCUACAGUGAUUAGAACUAUUGCUAACUGCAGCUUCAAAUGGUGGGACCUCAAAGAUGUCAAUAUUAAAUGGAGGGGAAGCCACUGAGCUUGAUGCUAGAGAAUGUCGAUUAAUUAUUAAAAGAUCACAUUCUAGAGUUUCGAUGCUUUAAACAGAGAUUGUGACAUCAGCAGAUGGGAACGAGGUAGAGGUAGCUGUUUCAGAGGCUUCUUCACGUGUUAGACCAAUCUCAUAAUUAAGGUGGUUGCAUUGCUUACUAGAGGAGGCAGAGUCUUCAACAUGCAUAGAAGGAACCUUGGGAGCACUACCAUCUACUAAGACACGUGUCAUAGGAUCCUUCAUUAAUGCUGCUAGGGACAACCGUACCGUUAACAUUGCAUGCCAGGUUAUCACCACUAUUGGAGCUCUAGUUAUUGCCGAAGCCACCAUGGCUUCCAUCUCCAUUACCAAGUUCAUUCUUCAGAUGAUUAAUGCCAUCACUGUUAUUAUAGGAAGUAGCAUCUUCCUUACCAUUGAAAUUAUCAUCACCACUGUUGUGUUUAUCUCCACCAAGAAGAUCAUCUCUGCUUACCCCAUCAUUGUUAUCAUUGUUAUCUUCAGAGUUUAUCUCCAAUGAGAUAUUUGGAGAGUGAGAUUUUCGCUUAAAUAUGGGACAAGGAAAAAAAAUCAUGACAAUACUCCUCCACUGCAUUAAUUGGAAUCUCAUAUAGUUCGAAUCAACCACUAAUGUUCUGCUGACCAGAGUUGGAGAAUCCGUUAGGAUUAGAAUUCUUGCAAAGUCAAGCUUUGAUAAAGAAAAUGAUUCCCCAUCAGCCAUUAUGAACUCUCCAUAAAGGCUUCCUAUCCAUUUGAAAAAAAUCAGACGUCCAUAGAUUAAGAGCAACA